rnacentral:rRNA from 1 species
UCGUACGAUGGAACCCUUAAGGGUGGAUUAGUGGCGAACGGGUGAGUAAAAGAGGGGAAUCUGCCCUGCACUCUGGGACAAGCCCUGGAAACGGGGUCUAAUACCGGAUAUGACUGUCCACCGCAUGGUGGAUGGUGUAAAGCUCCGGCGGUGCAGGAUGAGCCCGCGGCCUAUCAGCUAGUUGGUGAGGUAGUGGCUCACCAAGGCGACGACGGGUAGCCGGCCUGAGAGGGCGACCGGCCACACUGGGACUGAGACACGGCCCAGACUCCUACGGGAGGCAGCAGUGGGGAAUAUUGCACAAUGGGCGAAAGCCUGAUGCAGCGACGCCGCGUGAGGGAUGACGGCCUUCGGGUUGUAAACCUCUUUCAGCAGGGAAGAAGCGAAAGUGACGGUACCUGCAGAAGAAGCGCCGGCUAACUACGUGCCAGCAGCCGCGGUAAUACGUAGGGCGCAAGCGUUGUCCGGAAUUAUUGGGCGUAAAGAGCUCGUAGGCGGCUUGUCACGUCGGUUGUGAAAGCCCGGGGCUUAACCCCGGGUCUGCAGUCGAUACGGGCAGGCUAGAGUUCGGUAGGGGAGAUCGGAAUUCCUGGUGUAGCGGUGAAAUGCGCAGAUAUCAGGAGGAACACCGGUGGCGAAGGCGGAUCUCUGGGCCGAUACUGACGCUGAGGAGCGAAAGCGUGGGGAGCGAACAGGAUUAGAUACCCUGGUAGUCCACGCCGUAACGGUGGGCACUAGGUGUGGGCACAUUUCCACGUUGUCCGUGCCGCAGCUAACGCAUUAAGUGGCCCCGCCUGGGGAGUACGGCCGCAAGGCUAAACUUCAAAGGAUUGACCGGGGCCCGCACAGGCGGCGGAGCCAUGUUGCUUAAUUCGACUGCAACGCGCGAAGAACCCUUACCGUAGGCCUGGACAUACACCGGAAAGCAUCAGAGAUGGUGCCCCCCUUGUGGUCGGUGUACAGGUGGUGCAUGGCUGUCGUCAGCUCGUGUCGUGAGAUGUUGGGUUAAGUCCCGCAACGAGCGCAACCCUUGUCCCGUGUUGCCAGCAGGCCCUUGUGGUGCUGGGGACUCACGGGAGACCGCCGGGGUCAACUCGGAGGAAGGUGGGGACGACGUCAAGUCAUCAUGCCCCUUAUGUCUUGGGCUGCACACGUGCUACAAUGGCCGGUACAAUGAGCUGCGAUACCGCGAGGUGGAGCGAAUCUCAAAAAGCCGGUCUCAGUUCGGAUUGGGGUCUGCAACUCGACCCCAUGAAGUCGGAGUCGCUAGUAAUCGCAGAUCAGCAUUGCUGCUAUGAAUACGUUCCCGGGCCUUGUACACCCGCCCGUCCCGUCUACCAAAGUCGUACACC